rnacentral:rRNA from 1 species
GAUGAACGCUGGCGGCGUGCCUAAUACAUGCAAGUCGAGCGAACAGACGAGGAGCUUGCUCCUCGGACGUUAGCGGCGGACGGGUGAGUAACACGUGGAUAACCUACCUAUAAGACUGGGAUAACUUCGGGAAACCGGAGCUAAUACCGGAGAAUAUAUUGAACCGCAUGGUUCAAUAGUGAAAGACGGUUUUGCUGUCACUUAUAGAUGGAUCCGCGCCGCAUUAGCUAGUUGGUAAGGUAACGGCUUACCAAGGCAGCGAUGCGUAGCCGACCUGAGAGGGUGGUCGGCCACCCUGGAACGGAUGCGAGGUCCAGACUCCUACGACAGGAGGCAGUAGGGGAUCUUCCGCAAUAGGCGAAAGCCUGACGGAGCAGCGCCGCGUGGGUGAUUAAGGUCUUCGGAUCGUAAAACUCUGUUAUUAGGGAAGAACAAAUGUGUAAGUAACUAUGCACGUCUUGACGGUACCUGAUCAGGAAGCCACGGCUAACUACGUG